AGGAACUGUAAUUACCAAACCAUGAGAGCAGACGGGAUCCCAAACCGGAAGAAGUCCUUGAUUGUACCAAAGAUUUCCCAAGAUAAUGGAGCACGAGUAUCAGCACAUUUGGGUGAAUACAUGGCAUAAAGGCCAAGAAAGAUAGCAUUAAACCAAUACGAUAAGCCCAUAGCAUAUGCUGCUCCAUCGCUUCCCAUAUUGAACUUAAACACAAAUGCCCAACAAACCGGUACAUGAAAUAGCAGAGUUGCCACUGAGCUUGUAAGCAGAGGAAGAAUCAAAUACUGAGACUGCAAGUAGCGGACCAAUGGCUGGAGAAUAGCAUAGGGGAACAAAGCUGGUAUCAUCCUGAUCGAAUACUUUCCAGCUUCGUGUGAAAUCAGGGGAUCUUGUUUCAUUAGGACCAGGAGUUUCUCCAUGAAGAUCCACAGAAUACCUAUUGGUAUGCAAAUUAUGAGGAGAGAUAUUAUGGCCCCAUAAGUAUAGUGUGAAAGUUUUUUGUGCUGCUUCGCGCCAUAUGCUUGUCCACAUAAAGUUUCCAGUGCACUAGCCAUUCCAAACUGUUUUUAACAGAUCAAUAUCUAAUUAUCAAUAACAUGAAACUCAUCAAUUUGGAACUGAAAGUACGUCAUGGUGGCUGGGAGUUUAUGCCUUUUAGCAUCAGACCUUAGGCAGGACAGAAUUAAUCAAUGCAAAACAUGGUCUGAUAAAACAUGAAACACUUUCCUAAAAUACAAAUAUUGCUUAAAGAAUUUGGAAAGCAAAACUUAUAUCCUUCUAAAUUCUGGGAAUAACAUCCGUAUGAUAAACAUGAAUAGUCAAUAUUUGUCUGUACCAGCACCAAUAGGUCCGUUGACGAAGUGUUCUUGAAAAGUUGACUUGGAUCAUACCAUUAAAAACAAUGAGCUGAAUCUAAUCUUCAAAAUUUUGUUACUAAUCCUCAAAAGUUUUGUAAUAACACUCAUUUUCAAUAACAGACCCUUCUCUACGAGCGGGAUGUUUACAGAACAGAACAGACAAGUCAAAAAUUCCCUUAAAUAAGACCUGAAAACUUGUUUGCUUAUGUGCUACUCAAAUCUUUAAGAAAGAAGAGAAAAAGUAGAAACUCACAAGAAAGCUGAAGCCGGUGACAUUAGUGAAAGACAUGGAGACCACAGCACCGGAGAGUUGCAGUUUUCCAACAUGACCAAUCAUUAAAGUAGACACAAAUCUCAACAUAUACUGUGAAGUUGUCACAAUUAACAUUGGUGUGAAAAUCAUAUUGAUCUGCUUAGCCUCUGCUUUAAAAUCACCCCAUGUUGACUUUUUAAGCAUCUGUUUCUCUUUGUUUUCCGGGGUCUUCACUGCCACAGAAGCCUCUGAGUCUCCCAUGGCUUCUCCUUCUUCUGCUGCUGUAGCUAACAAGUGUUACUGUAACUAAUUCUCUAGCAAGAGUAAAAUGAGAGAAGGAUAAAUUGUCUAGGACAACAGAUUGUUAACUAACUAAAUUCUUAUAUGUCAACUGUUGGUGAGUCCAUCUCCUGGCUGCGCUCAUAUGUGUUUGAAUUGUAUUACUAUAUUACACUACUUCAUUUUCAACAAUUAUUAGUAUUCGUUAUCAUUGUUAAAUUUCCUAGUAAAUGCAUUGACAGUGACUCGGGGCCGGUCAUAAAUCAAACGUGUUUCAGGCUAUAAAUUAUAUGUGCAGCAAAAGGUGGUGGUUAGAGUGGACAUGUCUGAUCCAAGAAGUCUCGGGCUAAGGCCAUGAAGAUUGCAGAUACUUUCUGGUAUGCAUUUUUUUCGCGGGAAUUGUGUUCCUUGCUGUUGUGAUCACCGUCUGAUGUAAUGUAUAUUUGCUCCAUCAUGUGAUCAGCUCACUCCUGAGGAUAUAUACAUGAUCAUCUGUAGCUUCUGCUUCUGUUUUGACAAAUCUAUAGAAAAGCUAAUGAUAAUAAAGAUGUCUGAUGCACCUUAUAUGUAACCGGCUCCUUGUCAAUAUUAUUAUUAUUAUCAGUUUGUAUUGUGAUCGCUCUAAAAUUAAUGUAGCCACAGAUUCAGGUUCAGAUAAACCAUCAGUACUUCGGUACAGACUCAAUUCUUGCUGCAAAAGCUUGUUAUCGUUAAGGUGAUAUAAGCUGUUUGAAUCGCGAAUGCUGAAUGAUAAAGUAUCUGUAUCGAAAGCCACUAAGCAUAUUGGCUUGCUUCUUCAUAACAUGAUGGUUGGAUGAAUACUGCAUUUGGCUCUCAAUGAGAGAGCUAUACAAAUUAUGUUUGAAAAACCAACACAAAUUGAACUAAGAAAAGGUAACAAAAGUAAGCUGUUAAUUAACUGUUUGUGUCUGUCUUUAAACGAACAUACAAUCAUUUAUCCUCAUUUGAUUUCCUUUUAGCAAUCAAAAUAGGCAUCUGAACCACCUGUUUCUAUAUACAUAUACAUGUAGGAAUGAAAACGACAUAUAGACAUUACAAUAUCACUCAAUAACUGGUCAUCUCCUCUACUGGCACUCAAGGCUACUUGCAAAACUUCUUCUCACUUCUUCUCGUCAGAAGCUUUCAUUUCAAGCACCCUUUCCUUCGUGUCUUCAACCUGUAACAGAAAUUAUAUAUUUAUCAGCUGAAAUUCUCACUUCAGGAUCUGCUAAAAUGUGUGUUCACUGUUUUCAUAUAUUGUUUAAUUAAAUGGUUAAAUAUAUGUUAACAAGUCGGUUAAAAGAAUAGAACCUCUUUUUUCCAGUUGGUAAAGCUUGUUAUAAUAGCAAGCAGUAUACUUUGCACCAGAGAUCCUGCUACUAGACCGAUCCAAAGACCCUUGGCCCUCAUAUGCACUAGGAAACCCAAAAGUAGUGCCAUUGGAAUUCCUACCAGAUAAUAUGACCCGAGAUUCACAUAAGCCCCUAAACGCUGCCAUCCUGUUCCUCUUGCAACUCCUGCAAAUACAUGAAUGUAACUUAUUAUACGAGGAAAAUGGUAACACUCUUUUAUGAAAGAGUUUACAUUGCUUGAAUAAAUAGAAUAACUUAUGACAUUAAUUACCGGAAAGUAUUCCUUGGACAGCGUCCAAGAUCAUGGUGAGACAUAUAAAUGGAGUCAUCCUCCUCACAUAGUCUAUAAUAUCCUUAUCGCUCACAAAUGCACGUCCCAGAACAUGGCGGAGGGAGUAAAGUACUACAGCUGCAACACUGACCUCUAUAACUCCGAGUACCAUAACUACCCAGACAGUUGUCCUAACAGCCUGUGGAUUCCCAGCCCCCAAUUCAUUUGAAACCCGAACACUGCAGAUACUCAAGAUAUUCUAUUAAUUAAGUGAGACAAUAUAGUUGGAUAGAUACAUAUAGGUAACAAAUUUCACACGCACCUUGCAGCAACACCAAGAGAAAACGGAGCAAAAUAAUGUAGCACAGCCACCGUGAUACUGUUGAAGACAAGAUUAUUGAUCAUCAGAAGGGAGCAAUUUUUUCUAUUGAGUUGUAUAUUAGUACAAUAAUAUAUUCAGAUUAUCAUUUUGAAGGUAAUAUGAUAGAAAGAAUCAUUUGCCUGAUCGACAGCACUGAAGUCUCCAGUUGGGGAUUUCUCAUUACUCCAGCCAGCAAUAUAAUUAUCUCAUAUGCCCACCAUUCAAGACUGCAAAGAUUCAAAAAGCAUUGGUUAAAGAAUAUAAAGCAUAUGCCUUGUGAACUAAAUAACUACAAUUGGAGCCAAAACCUGAAACUUAUGGAGGAUAUAAUAAAAACUCUAGGCUAAAUAGGACAAUUAGUUUAUAAAAAAGGUACUACUUUGGAAAUGUUAGGAAGUAUGGCACUAGAACAAAAAAGGAAAAAAAAUUAAAUUUAUCGUUAGUAUAGGAAUUGUAGUUACCAAACCAUGAGAGCAGAUGGGAUCCCAAACCGGAAGAAGUCCUUGAUUGUACCGAAGAUUUCCCAAGAUAAUGGAGCGCGAGUAUCAGCACAUUUGGGCGAAUACAUGGCAUAAAGGCCGAGAAAGAUAGCAUUAAACCAAUACGAUAAACCAAUAGCAUAUGCUGCUCCAUCACUUCCCAUAUUGAACUUAAACACAAAUGCCCAACAAACCGGUACAUGAAAUAGCAGAGUUGCCACUGAGCUUG
rnacentral:lncRNA from 1 species